AUGCCUUCUACCCAAAGCCAACUACUGCUCCAAGGCCUUCACAGCCUGAAGCCCCNNNNNNNNNNUCCUAGCCUAGUAGAGCAGCCCUUCUACCCAGGGCCAACUGCAGCUCCCAGGCCUCCACAGCCCGAAGCUCUGCCGGGCCCAGUAUGGCAGCCCCAUCUCUUCCACUUUUACACUCGGCCAAAUGCUGCACCGAAUAAGACGCAACCAGAAGUCCCUUCCGGCCAGGUAAAGCCGUCCCUAUAUCCCUUUCCCUUCUACUCUUUGCCCAGGUCUGGCAGCAUAGUCUCACAAAACCCUCUACCUGUUAACUGCCCCCAGUUUUGCCACCCUGUUUCCUAUCAUUGCUGUCCCCAAAUUGCAUUUCAUCACCAUAUACAUCAAAUUAUCCCAUUUGGACUUCAUGCUCAAGAUUCACCUUCACUCAAUAAAGGACCACAUCAACCUUCAGGUUCAUAUUCUGGGUUUGGCAAUGACUUAGGUUCUGUUCCCCUUCAAAAGCCAACUGAUUCAAUGACGACGCAAGCUCCUGACACUUCCACCCCUGUACCCAUUUCAAUUUCAUCCCUUCAAUCUGGAAAUGCAAAGAGGACACAUAUUCUGCCACCAGAUGGCAACCCUGCUGCACCACAGUAUAUUCCUAGCAAGCCUGCAAAUCGUGGAGGGACAAUUUACCCCUAUGAUGAGCCACGGUAUCUUUAUCCAACUUGGUCAUAUCUACAACAGAGCAAGGAGCUGCAGAGUUUGACGCAAACCCCAUCACCAGCUUCUGAGAGUGUGCCCACGAUACCGCAGGUUCAACGUUAUAAACAAGAAAAUCCAGUGCUGAAAUACAAAUCACAUAAUGUACAGCCCCAAAAGCAGCAAAACCUGAAACUAUUGGGUUGGGAUAUGAAUAAUAAUCCAUCUGGAUCUUACACUGGCCAGUUUCUUCAGCAGAAGAAAAUGGGAAAGCAGCAAAUGCUUAAAGAUGCUGAAUCUCAAAUGAAUGAGAAAUAUACGUCCUCCAACAACACAUCCGGACUACAGACCUUAUUGAGCAGCUCAAGAGAACCUACCAAUCAUGGAUCAACUUUACACUCUUCUGCUGAUCCAAAGGGUUAUGUACUGCUGCAGCGUGGCCCACAGGAUGGGGAGCCAAACCGUUACAUUGACUCUCCUCUGCCUUCUGGUGACCUGGUUCACGAUGCAAACUUAAUGGCACAUUUUUCAGGGCAUCAUGGUCAAGAACCUGAACGUCUUCAGAAUUUAAAGACCCCACAGAAAAAAUCCAAACUUCCCAGAUUGCUGGGGAGAGGAAGGUCCAAUCGAGACUACCUGCCAAGGCAUGGCGAUGAAUUGGGUCAAUCAUAG
ensembl:lncRNA